GAUGAACGCUGGCGGCGUGCCUAAUACAUGCAAGUCGAGCGAACAGACGAUGAGCGUGCUCCUUUGACGUUGGCGGCGGACGGGUGAGUAACACGUGGAUAACCUACCUCUAUUACGGGGAUAACUUCGGGAGACCAGUUCUACUACUGGAGCAUAUAUUGAACCGCAGGGUGCAAUAGUUAAACGCGCUUUUCGUGUCUGAUUUAGAUGAUGCCGGGCCGCAUUAGCUAGUUGGUAAGGUAACGGCCUACCAAGGCAACGAUGCGUAGCUGACCUGAGAGGGUGAUCGGCCACACUGGAACUGAGACACGGUCCAGACUCCUACGGGAGGCAGCAGUAGGGAAUCUUGCACAAUGGGCGAAAGCCUGACCCAGCCACGCCGCGUGAGUGAUGAAGGUCUUCGGAUCGUAAAACUCUGUUAUUGGGAAAGAACAACUGUGUAAGUAACUCUGCACGUCUUGACGGUACCUAAUCAGAAAGCACCGGCUAACUUCGUG
rnacentral:rRNA from 1 species